CGUAAGAGAUGUAGGCGGGUUGAUAAGUUUGAAGUGAAAUCCAAUGGCACAACCAUUGAACUGCUUUGAAAACUAUUAACCUAGAAUAUGGGAGAGGUAGAUGGAAUUUCUGGUGUAGGGGUAAAAUCCGUAGAGAUCAGAAGGAAUACCGAUUGCGAAGGCGAUCUACUGGAACAUUAUUGACGCUCAGAUUCGAAAGCGUGGGGAGCAAACAGGAUUAGAUACCCUGGUAGUCCACGCCCUAAACGAUGCACACUAGUUGUUGCCAUGCUAGACAUGGCAGUAAUGCAGUUAACACAUUAAGUGUGCCGCCUGGGGAGUACGGUCGCAAGAUUAAAACUCAAAGGAAUAGACGGGGACCCGCACAAGCGGUGGAGCAUGUGGUUUAAUUCGACGAUACGCGAAGAACCUUACCUGGCCUUGACAUAGACAGAACAUAACAGAGAUGUAUUGGUGCUAGUUUACUAGAGCUGUCAUACAGGUGCUGCACGGCUGUCGUCAGCUCGUGUCGUGAGAUGUUGGGUUAAGUCCCGCAACGAGCGCAACCCUCGUGUUUAGUUACUAACAGUUCGGCUGAGGACUCUAGACAGACUGCCUGGGUAACCAGGAGGAAGGUGAGGACGACGUCAAGUCAUCAUGGCCCUUACGGCCAGGGCUACACACGUGCUACAAUGGGGGAUACAAAGAGCUGCAAUACCGCGAGGUGGAGCAAAUCUCAAAAAUCUCUCCCAGUUCGGAUUGUUCUCUGCAACUCGAGAACAUGAAGUUGGAAUCGCUAGUAAUCGUAGAUCAGCAAUGCUACGGUGAAUACGUU
rnacentral:rRNA from 1 species